GGUUGUCGUCAGCUCGUGUCGUGAGAUGUUGGGUUAAAGUCCCGCAACGGAGCGCAACCCUCGACCUUAGUUGCCAGCAUUCAGUUGGGCACUCUAAGGUGACUGCCGGCUAAAAGUCGGAGGAAGGUGGGGAUGACGUCAAAUCAUCAUGCCCCUUAUGACCUGGGCUACACACGUGCUACAAUGGGCGGUACAAAGGGUCGCGAACCCGCGAGGGGGAGCCAAUCCCAAAAAGCCGCUCUCAGUUCGGAUUGCAGGCUGCAACUCGCCUGCAUGAAGCCGGAAUCGCUAGUAAUCGCGGAUCAGCAUGCCGCGGUGAAUACGUUCCCGGGCCUU
rnacentral:rRNA from 1 species